AUUCAGCUGACGAGUCCGAAAUAGGACGAGAGGCACAUCCUGGAU
rnacentral:hammerhead_ribozyme from 1 species